GCGCAGGUGGAGAGUGAGCCUGGUGUGGAGUUAGCCACUUCUCCCCAGAGGAAGGCAAGGAUGUGGAGGGUGAAAGCGGGCUCGCAGACACGAAUAUGACCAACGUGAUGCAGUGUGACUCUCAGGAUUAUGUAGUUAUAUAAGACUUGGUCUGUUUGAAAGAUUUGAAGAAGCCAGCUACCCUGAGGUCUACAUCUUUCCACAGCCUUGGUGUUGGAACCUAAUCCUCAACGUGGUGGUAGGUUUACCACCUGAAGCAGAGAACAGCCCUCACCAGAUACUGAACCAGCUGGUGCCUUAACAUUGGACUUCCAGCCUCCAGAACUGUGAGAUAUGUGCAGGGUUUGAAUGACCCAAGCCUGCAGAGUCAACUCUACUGCCCGUCCACACUUGUCUGCUGCUGUUCCUCACCUCUCCAGUGAGCGUGGAGUUCCAUGGUCUCAGGUGACAGCCAUCACACCCACUCUGAAUUUCCUGACAGGCAUAAUAGAAUUGAAGACACAGUGGAUAACGACAGAGCCUCGUGUACUGCUAACAGGUACAGAAGCCAAAUAGCCACUCUAGGGAGUUCUGGUUGUUGUUUUGGUUUUGUUUUGUUUUUAAGAGAUGAGGUCUCACUCUGUGGCCCAGGCUGGAGUGCAGUGGCACAAUCAUAGCUCACGACAACCUGGAACUUCUAGGCUCAAGCGAUCCUCCCACUUCAGCGUCCUGAGUAGCUGGGACUACAGGCGUGUGCCACCAUACCCGGCUAAUUUUAUUUAUUUAUUUUUGUGGAGACAGGGGUCUUGCUAUGCUACCCAGGCUGGUCUCGAACUCCUGGCCUCAAGAGAUCCUGCCCCAGCUUCCCGAGUGGAUUUCUGUUUUUUAAUGGCUAUUUCCUUUUCCCCCUGACAUUUACAAAAUGCUUACAUAUGCCAGGCACUAUGUUUAGUGCUUACUUGGAUUCUCUCAUUUAACCCUCAAGUAAUUCUCUAAGGAAAGUACUAUCAUGUCACCCCCAUCUGAGAGGACUGAGGCUCAGUGAGGUCCCGUGAGGUCACAGAAACAGCUUUUAAACUGUGUCAAGAUAGCCAGAGCUGGAACAGCAGAGCUACGCUGAUUGCCCACUGGACACGGAAAAGCGGCUUCUCUCACACGAAGGUGUGUUCAGCAGGUUUCCCUAGGUUAAAGGAGAAAGGCUGGAUGCAGGAUAGAAAGAAAAAUGCUUUGCUCCAUGAAGGUGGAUUCUGAAGGGUGUAUUUGACUGAGGAGACAACUGUAAAGUCCCUUGGGAAUUGGUCCUUGCUCUGAUUUUUGCCACCAAAGUACUGCUGUCAAACAGAUUCAAACGGGUUUCACAAUUAAUGUGAAGAGGCUCCGGUUACACCGCAAAUGAGUGUGAUUGCUCCUCAGGAUUAAGGAUGUUUUUCUGUGGCUGAACUGAAGCAUCUGUCCUCAGGGCUGGAGGCUGGGUAUCACCACAGCUGACCUCCUCUCCAUGGCUCUUGCUGCUGCUAAUCCUCCAAGAUGAAUCUGAAAGAGAAAACAACUGCUUAGUUGCUACAAAUCAUAGGAAGACUCUGGUGAGAAAAUCUCCAUAAAAGACUUCGGAAAAGAUAUGUGUCUUAAGGCAGAACUUGAGGAAAAGCAGGAGACUUGGCACAGAAGCCGCAGAAGGCUUUUUCCAUGUGUAGGAACUUGCAAGGAUGGCAGGAGGCUACAGAGAGCAGACUUGAAACCCUGUGAAAAGAAGAAAUAAGCAAAGCAAGAGGAUAAGCCCUGGGAGAACAGCGUGCUUCCCAGUGUCUGCCUCGUCCUGCACAGUAAGAGCCAGGUCAACUUCAGGAAAUAAGCAAGGCCUCUAAAAGGAAGCACGACCAGAAAAUACAGCACAACUAGGAGCAUAUGGAAGGGAUCCAAGAAGUGGAGACCAUCAUUCGGUAAUAGAAUCUGCUUUGGAGAUGAGAGAGCCUAGAAGGAUGCCCAAUGCCCAGAGACAUACCAGAGAUGCUUUUAAAGUUCUACAAGCAACAUUUUCAUGUUCAAUGUGGAGGUCAGUAAGAGACCAAAAAUCCCAAAUCCCAGAUUGUACCUCCUACUCUCUGUGAUGGAUUAGAAAGAAAACAGGAUCCUCUUCAUCCUUCAAGACCCAGUCAGUUUUGUCGCCUCUGAGAAGUCUUCUCCUGUGUCUGCUUCCACCCCACCCUGCUUCAGGAAGACUCACGUUGCCUAGAAUUCAACAACCACCCUGGAACUGUGCCUUCUGUUUUUUAUGUUUCAGAUACAUACCCAUACCCCAAUAAUUCUACCAAAUUUAAGCUAUCUUUAUGAAACUAAAUAUGAAGAUUCAAAUUAGAUUUAAAACUCAUUUAGCUAAUCUGUUCCAAAAGCAACUUCUGUCUGUUAAUUGGUCGUUUGGUAAGCAGCUUUAGACUCAUUUUAGUACCUUAACUUAAAAUACCACUCUCGGCACACAAAUACUUGUUUAUUGAUGUCGAAAUUAAGAAAUUGUAUUUCUUUUUUUUAAGACAGAGUCUUGCUCUGUCACCCAGGCUGGAGUGCAGGCACAAUCUAUGCUCACUGCAACCUCAGCCUCCUGGGUUCAAGUGAUUCUCCUGCCUCAGCCUCCCAAGUAGCUGGGAUUACAGGCAUGUGCCACCAUGCCCCGUUAAUUUUUGUAUUUUUAGUAGAGAUGGGGUUUUGCCAUGUUGGCCAGGCUGGUCACGAACUCCUGACCUCAGGUGAUCCACCCACCUCAGUCUCCCAAAGUGCUGGGAUUACAGGGGUGAGCCACCACACCCAGCCAGAAAUUGUAUUUUCUUAUCAUCUGGUUUAAUAUUUUGCUUUUUUAACUGUUACUUCACCAAAAUAAUAAAAAAGCAGUUUUGAACCACAUAGGAAAAUGAAUCUUUUCCUAAUUUUGGCCAGGGUAGACCUGCUGGUAGUACUCAGAAAUCGGUUACUAUUAAAACAGUUUAAUUUUUUCAGUUCUUCAUUAUUCAAAGACUCCAAUUAGCACCUCUUUCAAAUAUGUGAGCAGAGAGCUUCAUAAAAAUUUAAUUAGGCCGGGUACAUUGGCUUAUACUUGUAAUCCCAGCACUUUGGGAGGCCAAGGCAGGAGAACAGCUUGAGCUCAGGAGUUUGAGGCCAACCUGGGCAACACAGAGAGACCUGUCUCUAAAAAAAGAAAAGAAAAAAGACUUAAUAAAAAAGAAUUAAUCCACUGCACACCUAUUAGAAAGGCUAAAAUCCAAAACGCUGACAACACCAAAUGCUGGUGAGGAUGUGGAGCAACAGGAAUUCUCAUCCAUGGCUGGUGGGGAAUACAAAAUGGUACCGCCACUUUAGAAGAGAGUUUGGCAGUUUCUUACAAAUCUAAACAUACUCAGCUGGGUGCAGUGGCUCAUGCCUUUAAUCCCAGCACUUUGGGAGGCCGAGACGGGUGGAUCACCUGAAGUCAGGAGUUCAAGACCAGCCUGGGCAACAUGGUGAAACCCAUUUAAAAUUUUUUAUUCUACUAAAAAUACAAAAAUCAGCUGGCAUGGUGGCACGUGCCUGUAGUCCCAGCUACUUCGGAGGCUGAGGCAGGAGAAUCACUUGAACUCGGGAGGCGGAGGUUGCAGUGAGACGAGAUCAUGCCACUGCACUCCAGCCUGGGCAACAGAGUGAGACUCCAUAUCAAAAACAAACAAAGAAAAAAAAAAACUUAAACAUACCCUCACCAUAAAAUCCAGCAAUUGCACUCCUUGGUGUUUACCCAAAGGAGUUGACAACAUAACCACACAAAAACCUGCAUGCAGACAUUUAUAGCAGCUUUACUCAUAAUUGCCAAAACCUGGAUGCAAACAGCAUGUCCUUAGGUGAAUGGAUAAACUGUGUUACAUCUAGACAAUGGAAUAUUAUUUAUUGCUAAAAAGAAAUGAGCUAUCAAGCCAUGAAAAGAUAUGGAGGAACUUUAAAUGCAUAUUAGUAUGUGAAGGAAGACAAUCUGAACAUCUACAUACGCUAUGGUUCCAACUAUAUGAUAUUCUGGAAAAGGCAAAACUGUGGAGACAGAAAAAGAAUCAGAGGUUGCCAGGGGUUAGCAGGGAGGGAAGGAUGAACAGGUGGGGCACAGAGGAUGUUUAGGACAGUGAAAAUAUUCCCUAUGAGACUGUAAUGGUGGAUACGUGUCAUUAUAUAAUUGUCCAAACCCAUAGAAUGUUUAACACCAAGAGUGAAGCGUAGUGUAAAGUAUCAACUUUGAGUAAUGAUAUCUCGAUAUAGUUUCAUCAAUUGUAGCAAAUGUACCAUUCUAGUAGGGUAUGUUGACAAGUGGGGAGGCUGUGGGUGUGUGGGGUAGCAGUGUAUGGGAAAUCUCUGUACCAUCCUCUCAAUUUUGCUGCGAACCUAAAACUUCUCUAUAAAAUAAAGUCUAU
rnacentral:lncRNA from 10 species